ACUAGAGUACUGUAGAGGGGGGUAGAAUUUCAGGUGUAGCGGUGAAAUGCGUAGAGAUCUGAAGGAAUACCGGUGGCGAAGGCGGCCCCCUGGACAGAUACUGACACUCAGAUGCGAAAGCGUGGGGAGCAAACAGGAUUAGAUACCCUGGUAGUCCACGCCGUAAACGAUGUCUACUUGGAGGUUGUGGCCUUGAGCCGUGGCUUUCGGAGCUAACGCGUUAAGUAGACCGCCUGGGGAGUACGGUCGCAAGAUUAAAACUCAAAUGAAUUGACGGGGGCCCGCACAAGCGGUGGAGCAUGUGGUUUAAUUCGAUGCAACGCGAAGAACCUUACCUACUCUUGACAUCCAGAGAACUUUCCAGAGAUGGAUUGGUGCCUUCGGGAACUCUGAGACAGGUGCUGCAUGGCUGUCGUCAGCUCGUGUUGUGAAAUGUUGGGUUAAGUCCCGCAACGAGCGCAACCCUUAUCCUUGUUUGCCAGCGAGUAAUGUCGGGAACUCCAGGGAGACUGCCGGUGAUAAACCGGAGGAAGGUGGGGACGACGUCAAGUCAUCAUGGCCCUUACGAGUAGGGCUACACACGUGCUACAAUGGCGCAUACAGAGGGCGGCCAACUUGCGAAAGUGAGCGAAUCCCAAAAAGUGCGUCGUAGUCCGGAUUGGAGUCUGCAACUCGACUCCAUGAAGUCGGAAUCGCUAGUAAUCGUGGAUCAGAAUGCCACGGUGAAUACGUUCCCGGGCCUUGUACACACCGCCCGUCACACCAUGGGAGUGGGCUGCAAAAGAAGUAGGUAGUUUAACCUUCGGGGGGACGCUUACCACUUUGUGGUUCAUGACUGGGGUGAAGUCGUAACAAGGUAGCGCUAGGGGAACCUGGCGCUGGAU
rnacentral:rRNA from 1 species